AUGGUCCCACCCUCAGUGCCACCUCAGCCCUUCUGGAAGAGGCACAGCAAAUGGACACCCCCCAAGAAGAUGAAGGGGGUGGCAGGCAAUGCCGAAGCCCCUGGCAAAAAGGCGUCAGUGGCUUCAGGAGAGAAGUCUCUGCUGAAUGGACACGUGAAGAAGGAAGUGCCCGCGCGAAAUUUGGAAAAGAAUCGGCCAAAGCGGGCCGCAGCUGGCAAGAAUAUGCUGGGCAAACAAGCACAUGGCAAGACAGAGGGCACCUCCAGUGAAAAUCGUUCUACCUCGCAACCUGAGUCCUCGCACAAGCCGCAUGACCCCACAGGGCAAGCCAGAGAAGGGGGGUGGCAAGUCUGGGUAGGCAGCGAUGGACAAGAUCCCUGCCCUCAGACCCUCCGCCAAGGAGUUCCAUGACCCACUCAUCUACUUCGAGUUAGUACGUGUUCAGGUGGAGAAGUGCAUGAUCCCCCCUCCAGACUGGCGGCCAGAGUGCAAGCUCAAUGGUGAGAUGCGCUUUGUCACGCAGAUACAGCACAUCCAUAAGCUGGGCCGGCGCUGGGGCCCCAAUGUACAGUGGCUCACCUGUAUAAAGAAGCACCUCAGAUCUCAGGGCAUCACCAUGGAUGAACUCCCCCUCAUAGGAGGCUAUGAGCUCGACCUGGCCUGCUUUUUCCGGCUGAUUACUGAGAUGGGCAGCAUGACCUCAAAAAAUGGAACAAACUAGCAGACAUGCUGCGCAUUCCCAAAACUUCCCAGGACCGGCUGGCCAAGCUGCAGGAGGCCUGCUGCCAGCACCUGCUUUCCUAUGGCUCCUUGUCCCCCGAGGAGCACCGACAGCUGGAGAAGGAGAUCCUGGAAAAGUGCAAGGGGCCAUUAGAGGGGCACACAGAGAAUAACCACCACAAGUUCCACUCCCUGCCCCGCUUUGAGCCCAAGAACGGGCUCAUCCAUGGCGUUAUACCCAGGAAUGGCUUUUGUAGUGAAAGCAAGCUCAAGGAGGUGGGCUGGGUCCCACUCAAGACAGGCCGGUGUCAACUGUUUGCUCAGGAAAAAGAAGUAGUCAAAGAGGAGGAAGAAGACAAAGGUGUCCUCAAUGACUUCCACAAGUGCAUCUAUAAGGGAAGAUCUGUGUCUCUAACAACUUUUUAUCCAACGGCAAGCCAAUGCUCUUUGUGCGGCGAGGCUCACGACUGUAGCUGCCUCCCCCAUCCCUCCGAGACCCUGAACUAUGGCAGGGUUCUGCGGAAGUCAUCCUGGAAGGCAGAGGUUGGCCUCCACCGGUAUGCCAUGCAGGGAGGGGAGUGCUACAUCUUCCUGAGAAUCUUAGCCAAAGGGUCUCCUUCUGCUCCGUGUCCUAGACAGACCAGCACAGGGGACCCUUGA